AAUUGUUAGGUUUCAGUCAGCCAAAUUAUAGUGGAAAGGUCACUACUGGUUGGCCUUGCUCUCUUUUCUAAGUACAUGAAUAACAAAUCAAAGAAUAUCUAUGGCCAACUUUUGGAUAAGGUAACGUGGAAAUGAAGCAUGUUUGUCGAUAUGCUAUUAGUGGUCCUGUAGCAGAGCUUUGCUUGCUUGUGAUACUUGACAAAUAUAACGCUAAUGUCAAGAUUACAGAGGCUCCACCCAAUCACCAGAUAUUUUUUUGUUCCGAAAAGUGGCAGGUCGAUGGCUUGAUUUCCGGCAGGGGGUGUGUUCAAAGGUCUUACAAAAUUACCGAAAAGGAAGUCCUAAGUUAUGCGGUAUUGGCAAGGUCAUCAAAGCAAACCUCUUGAGUCUUAAGAUUCAGAAGAAUAUGCAGACGUCAGAAGAGCUGUCACCAUUGCACCACAAAGACACGGGAGGAACAUUUGUCUAUUCUAGUUGGGCACAGCUUUCCGAAGAAAAUGGCACAGGAAUCCGUCAAGUUGAUAUUCUUUGAACUUGAAAACUACGGUGGAAAGUGCGUGGUAUGGCCUUAGCAAUUUAAAUGCUUUUUUUUUCGUUAUCAGCUGUUUAAAUUUUAACCUUUAGAAAAUGAUCCUUGUGGUAAUAUUUA